rnacentral:lncRNA from 1 species
AUGAUCUGGCCCCAUACCUCUGUCUCUCCUCUCCCCUCCCACACUCAGUGCUCCAACUAAGCCAGUGCGCACGUGGGCUCCUGAGGGCCUGGGUUUGCAUGCUCAUGCUGUUCCACACCCACUGCCCAGAAGGGUGGUUUCCCUAUCACAGAUGCUAAAGUCCUCUCCACCGAGGGGAGGCCCUCGGCUGGCCCAAAAGCUACCUCCUCCAGGAGGCCUCCCACGAGCAUCUCAGCCAGAGGUAAUUCUCCUAGCUUUGAGCACCCACAACAUCCUACCUUUCAGCACCCAUCUCCUCCUUUCUCAUGACCAGGGUGCUUUUCAUCUUGUACAGAGUCACUCAUUCAUUUGAAACACUCAUGGGUGCUUGCUUCAUUUCUGGCAUAUUAUUUUGUCUGUACCUGUCUGUGUCUGUGUCUGUGUCUGUGUCUGUGUCUGUGUUUGUGUCUGUGACUGUGUCUGUGUCUGUUUGUGUCUGUGUUUGUGUCAAUGUUUGGCAAAUCAUUUAACUCCUCUGGGCCUCAGUUUCCUCACCCAUAAAGCCAUGGAGCAGGGCAGCUGACUGCUGAGGUCACUCCCAGGGCUGACAUUCUGGGAUUCUAUCAACAUUUAGCCUCUGCUGGGCUGCACCAGUAGCCAGGGCCCCAGGGAACUGUGGGAGUGUUCCUGUGUGGAAUUGCGUCCACCCUGGUGGACGGACCCUGAUAGGAGGUGGGGGAGGGACAGGACCCCAGCUGCAACGGCAGCCAGGCCUUUUAAUAGCUCUUUUGGGGUGGCGUGGGAUGUGGUUGGGCAGGCUUCAUGGAUGAACUCAGGCCAUCGUGCUCCUCAGAACGUUGACUGUUUUUAAAGAAUCUGAAUUACAGAGCUCAGGUUGAAGAGGGCAUGGAAUCUUGUUCACAAGGUAAUAAAGGCAGGACCAUGAGUGAGUCACUUUCCCUCUCUGGGCCUUGUUCCUCAUCUGUUCAAAGAAGGGGCUAAACGUCUAGGUCUCUUAAAAUCUCUCCAAACAUACAACACCGAUGCAACACUACUGCAGCUGUCGAGGCUGCCAUCGGCCGAGCAGAGCCUGUUUUCCAGAGGAGAACUGAGGCUCAGAGAGGUGAAGCCGCUUGCCAAGGUCACACAGCGAGUUGGAGGUAGAGUGGAGCCUGAUCAUUUCUCGUCAGAGCCUGGGCUCUUUGUGGCUCUGCUCUGCUGUUCCCUGCCCUGAGCUGUCACGAUGCUCUCCCACCAUCUGGGCAGCUUUUUUCCUCCCUCCUCAUCCCCCUUUUCCUCCUCCACCCUGCCUCUGCCUUCCCCAGCUCUCCGAUGUCCACUGAGCAGGAAAGAUGCUCAGUCCUGAAGUGCUCACUCUGCCUGCCCAGCAGCAGCCUUGCCUGCUCCUGGGCCUUUCUGGCUUGUGACCAGUUGCUGCAGAGAAACCCUGAGCUCGAUUUUUCUGACCACCCAAUGGCCACCGUUACCUCCACUUAAUAAAUUGCACGGGAGCAAUGGGUGGUCGACGGCAGAGGCCUGCACGGGCUGAGUUGGAAAUUAAAAGCAGCGGCCGAGAGUGGGUUUGAAUGCAGCAACAGGAACCAUGAAUAUUUUACAAGAAACCAGAAUUAUUAAUGUUUCAAUAAAAAACAAAACCCCAAUGUCCAUGCGAAGAUUACAUGUGACUUAAAGCCUUCAGAAAACCGCUGUGGUCCUCCUCCGCUCUGCCUUAAACCACUCAGCAUGGUUUCGCUUAAACCAUCCCCAUCUCGCCAACCCUCAACCCACCCAUCUAAAUGGCGGUGGGGCGCGCUGCAUCCGCCCGACCGCCCCGAUAAUUAGCACAGCCCCCCCUCCUUCCUUCGGAGCUACGGACGAUCAGAGAAAUAUUUCUGGAAGACUAUUUACGAACUUCCCCAUAAUCAUCAAUCAUACAGUUAAGAAGGAAUGGAGCAAGAUUUCUUACCUCA